rnacentral:rRNA from 1 species
CAUGCAAGUCGAACGAGAGAGAAGGAGCUUGCUUCUUCGAUCGAGUGGCGAACGGGUGAGUAACGCGUGAGGAACCUGGCUCAAAGAGGGGGACAACAGUUGGAAACGACUGCUAAUACCGCAUAAGCCCACGGGUCGGCAUCGACCUGAGGGAAAAGGAGCAAUCCGCUUUGAGAUGGCCUCGCGUCCGAUUAGCUAGUUGGUGAGGUAACGGCCCACCAAGGCGACGAUCGGUAGCCGGACUGAGAGGUUGAACGGCCACAUUGGGACUGAGACACGGCCCAGACUCCUACGGGAGGCAGCAGUGGGGAAUAUUGCACAAUGGGGGAAACCCUGAUGCAGCGACGCCGCGUGGAGGAAGAAGGUCUUCGGAUUGUAAACUCCUGUUGUUGAGGAAGAUAAUGACGGUACUCAACAAGGAAGUGACGGCUAACUACGUGCCAGCAGCCGCGGUAAAACGUAGGUCACAAGCGUUGUCCGGAAUUACUGGGUGUAAAGGGGGCGCAGGCGGGAAGACAAGUUGGAAGUGAAAUCUAUGGGCUCAACCCAUAAACUGCUUUCAAAACUGUUUUUCUUGAGUAGUGCAGAGGUAGGCGGAAUUCCCGGUGUAGCGGUGGAAUGCGUAGAUAUCGGGAGGAACACCAGUGGCGAAGGCGGCCUACUGGGCACCAACUGACGCUGAGGCUCGAAAGUGUGGGUAGCAAACAGGAUUAGAUACCCUGGUAGUCCACACCGUAAACGAUGAUUACUAGGUGUUGGAGGAUUGACCCCUUCAGUGCCGCAGUUAACACAAUAAGUAAUCCACCUGGGGAGUACGACCGCAAGGUUGAAACUCAA